rnacentral:rRNA from 2 species
GACGAACGCUGGCGGCGUGCCUAAUACAUGCAAGUCGAGCGGACAGAAGGGAGCUUGCUCCCGGAUGUUAGCGGCGGACGGGUGAGUAACACGUGGGUAACCUGCCUGUAAGACUGGGAUAACUCCGGGAAACCGGAGCUAAUACCGGAUAGUUCCUUGAACCGCAUGGUUCAAGGAUGAAAGACGGUUUCGGCUGUCACUUACAGAUGGACCCGCGGCGCAUUAGCUAGUUGGUGAGGUAACGGCUCACCAAGGCGACGAUGCGUAGCCGACCUGAGAGGGUGAUCGGCCACACUGGGACUGAGACACGGCCCAGACUCCUACGGGAGGCAGCAGUAGGGAAUCUUCCGCAAUGGACGAAAGUCUGACGGAGCAACGCCGCGUGAGUGAUGAAGGUUUUCGGAUCGUAAAGCUCUGUUGUUAGGGAAGAACAAGUGCAAGAGUAACUGCUUGCACCUUGACGGUACCUAACCAGAAAGCCACGGCUAACUACGUGCCAGCAGCCGCGGUAAUACGUAGGUGGCAAGCGUUGUCCGGAAUUAUUGGGCGUAAAGGGCUCGCAGGCGGUUUCUUAAGUCUGAUGUGAAAGCCCCCGGCUCAACCGGGGAGGGUCAUUGGAAACUGGGAAACUUGAGUGCAGAAGAGGAGAGUGGAAUUCCACGUGUAGCGGUGAAAUGCGUAGAGAUGUGGAGGAACACCAGUGGCGAAGGCGACUCUCUGGUCUGUAACUGACGCUGAGGAGCGAAAGCGUGGGGAGCGAACAGGAUUAGAUACCCUGGUAGUCCACGCCGUAAACGAUGAGUGCUAAGUGUUAGGGGGUUUCCGCCCCUUAGUGCUGCAGCUAACGCAUUAAGCACUCCGCCUGGGGAGUACGGUCGCAAGACUGAAACUCAAAGGAAUUGACGGGGGCCCGCACAAGCGGUGGAGCAUGUGGUUUAAUUCGAAGCAACGCGAAGAACCUUACCAGGUCUUGACAUCCUCUGACAACCCUAGAGAUAGGGCUUUCCCUUCGGGGACAGAGUGACAGGUGGUGCAUGGUUGUCGUCAGCUCGUGUCGUGAGAUGUUGGGUUAAGUCCCGCAACGAGCGCAACCCUUGAUCUUAGUUGCCAGCAUUUAGUUGGGCACUCUAAGGUGACUGCCGGUGACAAACCGGAGGAAGGUGGGGAUGACGUCAAAUCAUCAUGCCCCUUAUGACCUGGGCUACACACGUGCUACAAUGGACAGAACAAAGGGCUGCGAGACCGCAAGGUUUAGCCAAUCCCACAAAUCUGUUCUCAGUUCGGAUCGCAGUCUGCAACUCGACUGCG